AGCGGGGUCGCGCACCCUCUCUUUGGCUACCUCACCUCCAGUUUCCGCUCACUGCUGACAGACACGCACUCCUCGAGACCACCGGGACACCCUCCCCGCUCCAGGACAGGUAAAUGCAUGACACGUUCCCGUUUGGCCAACGGUGUGCAUCGUUGCGCUGAUGGAGUAAUGCCGAAUAAGUGGUACUACAACUAAACCGCGCGAUACUGGACCAGGGGGCGACAUUGAGCAACGCGCUCUAUAGCACCGGCCGUGUUGUUAAAGAGAAAUGAGCGGACGUGGGCUGGAGUGGUCACUGUGCCACUCUUACAUGGUAUUUUGUAUGGUUAAACCCCCCCAGCAUCUCACACGGUGCAGAUUGUCACGCGUGCAAUGCAAAAGGAUGCCCGGCUGCAGCGCGCAGCUGACUGCAGUUUAAAACUCUGCAUCGCACGCAGGCAGCAGAAGCUCUUCCAGCCGCUAACAGGCACCGAAUAUAUGGCUCUUUCAAAACUGACACAAUGGUCUUUCCCUCUGAAUGGGCGACACGCGGAAAAGCUGUUUCUCUGCGAGCGACUUGCUCCCUCUGCCAAAUGCGUUGCAGUGUCACAUACCCCUCUCUCUUUUCUUUUUUUUCUCUCCCUACGAACUGCUCCGUUUCUCCUCAGGGGCAAUGACUGCCUCCAUUAAUGAUUCACGGGCUCAAAUAAAAGGGAUUUAAGUUGACGUUGCGUCACGUGAGUGGGGCGCAUAAUACUGCGCGAUGUUAUGGCACGGGGAAGAAAACCGGAGCCCGGGUCUGUCCGCAUGAUGCUGAUUGUAUGCAGGUUCCCCCCGCUUUCCGUAAGGGGUGUCCGCGCUUUAUAGUUUGCUUUUUCGAGCUGAGAAAAAGAAACGAGAUUCAAACUGAAAGAGAGGGGAUCCCGGCUCUGUGGAUGUAUUAUACUGCUGUCGCGGACGGAUAUGUUUUUCCCACGCGGAGAGAGUCAGAGACCGAGCUAGAGGAUGGAUUUUAUUUUGAGAAUUCCAUCCAAGUGAAUUGAGGCCAUCGCACGGUCUACGAGAGACCUUGAACUGCUUACGAGACGCGUUACCAUGCAGAGGGAUUCCCCCCGCUGCCGACCGUCCUCUUCCCUGUUCCUCGCAGCGUGUCCUCCGCUCUGCCUUUUGGUGAUGAACCUUCUUCUCAUUUUUCACACCCUGCUCCCGGUGGGGUUUUCCACAUGAUAUACUUAGAAUGCGGCUUUGAUCUGAAGUUGUUG
ensembl:lncRNA